GAUGAAGAACGUAGCGAAAUGCGAUAAGUAAUGUGAAUUGCAGAAUUCAGUGAAUCAUCGAAUCUUUGAACGCACAUUGCGCCCGCCAGUAUUCUGGCGGGCAUGCCUGUCCGAGCGUCAUUUCAACCCUCGAGCCCCCCCGGGGGGUCGGCGUUGGGGAUCGGCUGUCAAGUCAAGACUGCCGGCCCCGAAAUGCAGUGGCGGUCUCGCCGCAGCCUCUCCUGCGCAGUAGCUUGCACGCUCGCAACGGGAGCGCGGCGCGUCCACGGCCGUGAGACAACCCAAACUUCUGAAAGGUUGACCUCGGAUCAGGUAGGAAUACCCGCUGAACUUAAGCAUAUCAAUAAGCGGAGGA
rnacentral:misc_RNA from 1 species